ensembl:antisense 4933423P22Rik RIKEN cDNA 4933423P22 gene
AGGGCCUUCCAUGAACACUGAAGGUGAAUGAGGCCAGAUCCUGUCUCCUCAUCCAUUCACCGGGAUGACAUCCAUCUCUCUCUCUCUCUCUCUCUCUCUCUCUCUCUCUCUCUCUCUCUCUCUCUCCCUGUGUGUUAGGACCUUCCUCAAUGGGAAAAUAAACAGAUCUGUCAGAUGACUCUUCUUAAGAGUGUGCGGUGUCAGUCAGGAGCCCGACAGAUACAGGUGUCACACUCAGCCAGGAUAAGUGGGGAAGUGGGUGGGGCUGUGGAUGAGAAAGCAACAGCAAUGUGCAAGAAUCCUGGAGGCCCACAACGAGAAAGGGGAGACAAGCUGAAGUGACUGUCUCUCCCAUCUCCCAUUGUCCAAACAGGAAGGCAGAAAUCAAGGGCACCCCUGGCACAGAACACAGAGUAUGAGAAGGCCUGAGUUCGGAUCCUCGGAACCCAUGAAAAGCUGGUCUCUGCAGCAGCCGCUACAGCCUCAGCUCUUCCAGCGCCAAGGAGCAGACAGACAGACAGACCUGGUCUCACUGGACAGUCGGUCCAGCCCAGUGAGACUCUAAUAAGUAACAAAACCAUCUGUGGCACAUGGUUUUAAAGAAAAAAACAAAAACAAAGGGACAGACCUACCCACCUUCACCCAGCCUGAACCUUGUACUUGAUCAGGUCUCUCGGACACUCACCUACCCUGCAAAGUGGGAGAGCAGCUGGCUUGCAGCAGCACAGGUGAGAAAGAGUGGUGUAUCAGGAAAAGAGCCCAGGACCUGAGACAGCUUCAACCCAGACUCCCCCAACCCAACGAACCCAACGAACCCAACGAACCCAACGAACCCAACAAACGGGCUGAACUGGAGGCUGCUGUGACAGGAAAACUCAAAAUAAACUGAAGAAAAUUUAAUGGUUUUAAAACAAAGGGAGGGCCUGCUUCUCUGGAACAUAGGCUAGGUUUGCCCAGUGGGUUCCAGCUGUCCUUCAAUCAGGCUAGCCUGGGUUUUGCUUUCGUUUUUAAGAUGAUCUAUUUUUAUUG